rnacentral:lncRNA from 1 species
UGUUUGUGACACUUUAAGCCGCUUUUCAAUGGAGUCCACGAUAUAACUAUCUUUACUUUUCUCACAUCUACUAUCGUUAUCAACAUGAUUUGCGGCUGCCGUUGCCUCACCAGAACAAAGAGAAUGUAAACCUAAAUUCAAAUUACCAGAGACUAAUUUAAGUCUAGAAAUAAUGUUCUCUCUAGCUGACGUGUAACUAAGCUUUUUAUUUUUGUAAAUUAAUUUACA